GACAAACAGAUCGAGUUAAGUUGUAGUUGGUAUAAAAGGAAGUUAGAAAGAGACAAACUAUAGAUAGAAGAUUGAAUUUUUGUUUUAGAGGUGGAAUUUGUGUAAUAAAGGGUUGCUUAGGUAUCUUCUUUAUUUUGAUACUUCGAAAGUUAGUGCGGAGACCGGGAUUAGAUACCCCGUUAUUUUUACUGUAAAUUUUGGUUUCCUACCUGAGUAUUACGAGUUGAACUUUAUUAAGUGCAUAGCAUUCUUGUUGUGUAUUGGUUCUUUUGCUUAAAACUCAAAAAACUUGGCGGUGUUUUAUUUCUUUCCAGGGGAACCUGUCCUGUAAUCGAUAGUCCACGAUUUAACUUACUUUUUUUUGAGAGUUAAUAUAUGUUGGCUAUAACAGUUUGUAUACCGUCGUCGUCAGAUAACCUUUAAGAGGAAAGAAGUUAUCAGGAAAGUGAUGUUUAGUUGGUUUAUUUUAGUGAUAUUUCUUAAACUAGUUAGAUAUGCUUCGAUGUCAGAUCAAGGUGCAGCUAAUAGAAAAUGGAGAGAUGGGUUACAUUAUAUAAUUAAUUUGGAUUUUAAGAUGUAAUACUUAAAUAAAAUUGGACUUGGAAGUAAUGCCUAUUUUAAGAAUUAGUAAGUAGGCAUGAAUGUUGUACUGAAACGCGU
rnacentral:rRNA from 1 species